rnacentral:piRNA from 1 species
UGCCCUGUGGACCUCCUUGUUCAAAACUGUC